rnacentral:rRNA from 1 species
UACGUAGGGCGCAAGCGUUAUCCGGAAUUAUUGGGCGUAAAGAGCUCGUAGGCGGUUUGUCGCGUCUGCCGUGAAAGUCCGGGGCUCAACUCCGGAUCUGCGGUGGGUACGGGCAGACUAGAGUGAUGUAGGGGAGACUGGAAUUCCUGGUGUAGCGGUGAAAUGCGCAGAUAUCAGGAGGAACGCCGAUGGCGAAGGCAGGUCUCUGGGCAU